AAUAUUGGACAAUGGGGGCAACCCUGAGCCAGCCAUGCCGCGUGGGUGAAGAAGGACUUCGGAUUGUAAAGCACUUUAAGUUGGGAGGAAGGGCUUUAGGCUAAGACCCUGAAGUUUUGACGUUACCAACAGAAUAAGCACCGGCUAACUCUGUGCCUGCAGCCGCGGUAAUAUAGAGGGUGCAAGAGUUAAUCGGAAUUACUGGGCGUAAAGCGCGCGUAGGUGGUUCAGUAAGAUGGGUGUGAAAUCCCCCGGCUUAACCUGGGAGCUGCUUUCAUAACUGCUGAGCUAGAGUACGGUAGAGGGUAGUGGAAUUUCCUGUGUAGCGGUGAAAUGCGUAGAUAUAGGAAGGAACACCAGUGGCGAAGGCGACUACCUGGACUGAUACUGACACUGAGGUGCGAAAGCGUGGGGAGCAAACA
rnacentral:rRNA from 1 species